rnacentral:rRNA from 1 species
GAUGAACGCUGGCGGCGUGCCUAAUACAUGCAAGUCGAGCGAACAGACGAGGAGCUUGCUCCUCUGACGUUAGCGGCGGACGGGUGAGUAACACGUGGAUAACCUACCUAUAAGACUGGGAUAACUUCGGGAAACCGGAGCUAAUACCGGAUAAUAUAUUGAACCGCAUGGUUCAAUAGUGAAAGACGGUUUUGCUGUCACUUAUAGAUGGAUCCGCGCCGCAUUAGCUAGUUGGUAAGGUAACGGCUUACCAAGGCAACGAUGCGUAGCCGACCUGAGAGGGUGAUCGGCCACACUGGAACUGAGACACGGUCCAGACUCCUACGGGAGGCAGCCGUAGGGAAUCUUCCGCAAUGGGCGAAAGCCUGACGGAGCAACGCCGCGUGAGUGAUGAAGGUCUUCGGAUCGUAAAACUCUGUUAUUAGGGAAGAACAAAUGUGUAAGUAACUAUGCACGUCUUGACGGUACCUAAUCAGAAAGCCACGGCUAACUUCGUG